UAGUUAGCUCAUUUGACAAGAGAGAUUUACUAAUUGGUAACACGAAGACACUUCAACCUCAAUAACUUUGAUGAUCGUAUACGACUUCAUUCAUUGACUCGGGAUGUCGGUGGCUGCAGUGCUGGGUUCUCUUUUGGACUUGGCCUCCCCCAUUGAUGAACGUCCGCUGUCGCUAUUCCAAGGCAGCGUGAGUGAGUGGAGUGAUAUGAGAAGU
rnacentral:snoRNA from 1 species